GCCUGGCUGGCUCCGUUGGUGGAGCAUGUGACUCCUGAUCUUGGGGUUGUGGGUUUGAGCCCCACGUUGGGUG
rfam:Ailuropoda melanoleuca scaffold342_64, whole genome shotgun sequence.